GGCACGAUGGCGGAGUGGUUAACGCGAUGCCCUGCUAUCAUCACGAAAGUUAAGGCAUUUCCCUCGGGAGCGCAGGUUCGAAUCCUGCUCGUGUCG
rnacentral:tRNA from 1 species